AACGCACAUUGCGCCCUCUGGUAUUCCGGGGGGCAUGCCUGUCCGAGCGUCAUUGCAACCCUCAAGCGCGGCUUGCGUGUUGGGCCUUAUUUUGUCCCCGGCUUCCCGGGGACAGGCCCCAAAGGCAGUGGCGGCGUCCCGAUGGAGGCCCGAGCGUAUGGGAACGGAAACGUGCCAGCUUGGAGGCUUCCGCGGGUGCCCGCCGGUCAACCCUCAAUUCUUUCUCGGUUGACCUCGGAUCAGGUAGGAUUACCCGCUGAACUUAA
rnacentral:misc_RNA from 1 species